UGGGGAAUUUUGGACAAUGGGGGAAACCCUGAUCCAGCCAUCCCGCGUGUGCGAUGAAGGCCUUCGGGUUGUAAAGCACUUUUGGCAGGAAAGAAACGUCAUGGGUUAAUACCCCGUGAAACUGACGGUACCUGCAGAAUAAGCACCGGCUAACUACGUGCCAGCAGCCGCGGUAAUACGUAGGUUGCAAGCGUUAAUCGGAAUUACUGGGCGUAAAGCGUGCGCAGGCGGUUCGGAAAGAAAGAUGUGAAAUCCCAGAGCUCAACUUUGGAACUGCAUUUUUAACUACCGGGCUAGAGUGUGUCAGAGGGAGAUGGAAUUCCGCGUGUAGCAGUGAAAUGCGUAGAUAUGCGGAGGAACACCGAUGGCGAAGGCAGCCUCCUGGGAUAACACUGACGCUCAUGAACGAAAGCGUGGGGAGUAAACAGG
rnacentral:rRNA from 1 species